rnacentral:rRNA from 1 species
CGGUAGUCCACGCCCUAAACGAUGAAUGCUAAGUCUCCGGGGUAUCCACCCCCUGUGGGCUGUAGUUAACGCGUUAAGCAUUCCGCCUGGGGACUACGGCCGCAAGGCUAAAACUCAAAGGAAUUGACGGGACCCCGCACAAGCAGCGGAGCGUGUGGUUUAAUUCGAUGCUAAGCGAAGAACCUUACCUAGGCUUGACAUGUAAGUGGUACCGAUCCGAAAGGUGAGGGACCCGCAAGGGAGCUUACACAGGUGCUGCAUGGCUGUCGUCAGCUCGUGCCGUGAGGUGUUGGUUUAAGUACCGCAACGAGCGCAACCCUCGUCGUUAGUUGAAUUUUCUAGCGAGACUGCCCGAAAGGGAGGAAGGUGGGGAUGACGUCAAGUCAUCAUGGCUCUUACGUCUAGGGCUACACACACGCUACAAUGGCCGGCACAGACGGUUGCUAAACCGCGAGGUGGAGCCAAUCCGAAAAAACCGGCCCCAGUUGGGAAUUGCAGGGCUGAAACUCGCCUGCAUGAACGUGGAGUUGC